GACGAACGCUGGCGGCGUGCUUAACACAUGCAAGUCGAACGAUGAAGCCUUUCGGGGUGGAUUAGUGGCGAACGGGUGAGUAACACGUGGGCAAUCUGCCCUUCACUCUGGGACAAGCCCUGGAAACGGGGUCUAAUACCGGAUAAUACUCUUGCGGGCAUCUGUGAGGGUUGAAAGCUCCGGCGGUGAAGGAUGAGCCCGCGGCCUAUCAGCUUGUUGGUGAGGUAGGGCUCACCAAGGCGACGACGGGUAGCCGGCCUGAGAGGGCGACCGGCCACACUGGGACUGAGACGACGGCCCAGACUCCUACGGGAGGCAGCAGUGGGGAAUAUUGCACAAUGGGCGGAAGCCUGAUGCAGCGACGCCGCGUGAGGGAUGACGGCCUGG
rnacentral:rRNA from 1 species